GGGCGGUUAGCUCAGUUGGUAGAGCGCCUGCUUUACACGCAGGAUGUCGGGGGUUCGAGUCCCUCACCGCCCACCA
rnacentral:tRNA from 3 species